rnacentral:lncRNA from 1 species
UUGAAUCAUUUAUCUAUUUGUUUAUCACCAGACAUUCAAUGACUUCCUACACUUGAUCUCUUUUUAGAAUCUGAAUUUACUAUAUAUGAACCACGAAAUUCUCAAGACUCACCUCGCAAAGACCCGACUAACUCAACUCAUAAGUUUGGUUAUGACAUUAUCAAUUAUUUAUUUAAUAUUUUAUUAGAAUUAUUACCGACAGUGAUAAUUAUUUUAAACCUCAAAGCCAUUUUCCUACCUUCCAUAGUAUACAUGUUCCAUCAUUCUUUUUGUUUAACUACAUAGUCUUAACUACUUAUUCUAAAACAUCUGUUAACUUUCUAAAUUUUUAUAAAUUUUAAAUUUAUUUACAGCAUAAAAUUACUAUUUAUGAUCAUUUAAAUUCUUAAUAUCCACCUUAUCUCUAUUUUUUUUUUUUAUCAAUAUAACAAGAAACUUUACAAUUACACAAAUAUUAUUCUCCUUCAAAUUAUAUUCUAAUUAUCAUUUUCUAAUAUAAUUAUCACCCAACAUAAUAGCGUUCCAAUCCCAAGUCCACUAGUUUCCUCUAUUAUCUUUUACUUUCAUUUUAUUAUACUAGAUCCAUA